rnacentral:sRNA from 1 species
ACAUGACACGAAUCCGAAGAGCUGGAAUUCCGGGUGAAAGCCAGCCGCGCAGGAAGUGUAGACGCUCCCACGUCAGUCCGGGCCUGCCCUCAUCG